rnacentral:rRNA from 1 species
ACGGAAGGCAGCAGUGGGGAAUAUUGGGCAAUGGGGGAAACCCUGACCCAGCAACGCCGCGUGAAGGAAGAAGGCCUUCGGGUUGUAAACUUCUUUUACCAGGGACGAUAAUGACGGUACCUGGAGAAAAAGCAACGGCUAACUACGUGCCAGCAGCCGCGGUAAUACGUAGGUUGCAAGCGUUGUCCGGAUUUACUGGGUGUAAAGGGCGUGUAGGCGGAGCUGCAAGUCAGAUGUGAAAUCCCGGGGCUCAACCCCGGAACUGCAUUUGAAACUGUAGCCCUUGAGUAUCGGAGAGGCAAGCGGAAUUCCUAGUGUAGCGGUGAAAUGCGUAGAUAUUAGGAGGAACACCAGUGGCGAAGGCGGCUUGCUGGACGACAACUGACGCUGAGGCGCGAAAGCGUGGGUAGCAAACAGGAUUAGAUACCCUGGUA